rnacentral:rRNA from 1 species
UACGUAGGGGGGCGAGCGUUAUCCGGAAUUACUGGGCGUAAAGCGCACGCAGGCGGUUCGCCAAGUUUGGAGUGACAGUUGUCGGCUCAACCGACAAAGGACUUCAAAAACUGGUGAACUUGAGGACGAGAGAGGAACAUGGAACUCCAGGCGUAGUAGUGAAAUGCGUAGAUAUCUGGAAGAACACCAAUGGCGAAGGCAAUGUUCUGGCUCGUUUCUGACGCUCAGGUGCGAAAGCCAGGGGAGCGAACGGG